CUAACCCAGAAACUCAUGUCAGAGAUCGAUUGUGCAUGUUUGACCAAGCUUUCUGAUAAGAUCCAGAUGUUUCUGGGCAUGUUGUUAGUCAGAUAUUGUAGUUCUAAUGCACGACUACACGAUCCAACAACAAACAUUUUCAUACACUGCAUAACCAAAUCGAUUGAGCCUCUAAUGUGGUUGUCAGACAUGUCCUUCAUUUCUGGGUUACCCAGAAAUGAAGAACAGUUCGUGACGCCUAUUUUGGGCUUCCACACCUUGUUCUUCAUGUAAUGUUUAAGUUUUCUAAGGGUUCCAGGUUCUAGAACACAUGUAGUACUAUAG
rnacentral:lncRNA from 1 species